rnacentral:lncRNA from 1 species
AGGACCGAGCGAGCCGGCGAGCGACCAAGGUAAAGGUAUCGCGCCUUAGACAGAGGCUACCAGAGUUAAGUUGGGUUUACAUUUUGUUAGUAGAGUACCCUAUGUUCAUCUUUUGUAUUUGAUGACUAGUGAUGUAAGGAAAAUAAUGUAAUGUGUUAUUUGAGGUAAAUGUGAUGUAAAAAGAAAUGAUGGAAGCAAUGUAAUGUAAUGAAAUGCAAGGAAUCAAGAAUGAAAAGGGAUACAUGUAUG